UUAAUAUUCCAGUACUUUUUAUAACUGCGAUGCGGUGACGGAGUAGUGACACUGACGCGAACUGACGGAAUAGUUCGUUAAAGGCCGUAGGUAUAUGGACUGUAGUAAAGUACGCAGACCAUGCUGAAAGCUGAUAGUACUUGAAACCUUCGGGGGACGAGAUAGUUCAGGUAAUCAGACUUCCAAGAAAACCCGCUAAGCUUCAGGUUAUAAAAACCCGUACCGUAAACCGACACAGGUAGUCGAGGAGAGAAUCCUAAGGUGCUCGAGUGAAUCAUGGCUAAGGAACUCGGCAAAAUGGCCCUGUAACUUCGGGAGAAGGGGCGCUGUCAGCAAUGGCAGCCGCAGUGAAAAGGCCCAGGCGACUGUUUAACAAAAACACAUGGCUUUGCAAAAUCGAAAGAUGACGUAUAAGGCCUGACACCUGCCCGGUGCUGGAAGGUUAAGAGGGGAUGUUAGGAGCAAUUCGAAGCAUUGAAUCGAAGCCCCAGUAAACGGCGGCCGUAACGAUAACGGUCCUAAGGUAGCGAAAUUCCUUGUCGGGUAAGUUCCGACCUGCACGAAUGGUGUAACGAUCUGGGCGCUGUCUCAGCCAUGAGCUCGGUGAAAUUGUGGUAUCGGUGAAGACGCCGGUUACCCGCAACGGGACGGAAAGACCCCAUGCACCUUCACUACAACUUAACAUUGAUAUCGGAUACAGGAUGUGUAGGAUAGGUGGGAGACUGUGAUCCAGCUUCGCUAGGAGUUGGUUAGUCAACGUUGAAAUACCACCCUUUCUGUAUUUGGUGUCUAACCCUGCAAAGCGGGGGACAUUGUUUGGCGGGUAGUUUGACUGGGGUGGUCGCCUCCAAAAAGGUAACGGAGGCUUUCAAAGGUAAGCUCAGUACGCUUGGUAACCGUACGCGGAGUGCAAUAGCAUAAGCUUGCUUGACUGUGAGGCAGACAAGCCGAGCAGGGUCGAAAGACGGAUAUAGUGAUCCGGUGGUUCUGCAUGGAAGGGCCAUCGUUCAAAGGAUAAAAGGUACGCUGGGAUAACAGGCUGAUCUCCCCCAAGAGCUCAUAUCGACGGGGAGGUUUGGCACCUCGAUGUCGGCUCGUCACAUCCUGGGGCUGGAGAAGGUCCCAAGGGUUGAGCUGUUCGCUCAUUAAAGUGGCACGCGAGCUGGGUUCAGAACGUCGCGAGACAGUUCGGUCCCUAUCUGUUGUGGGCGCAGGAAGUUUGAGUGGGGCUGACCUUAGUACGAGAGGACCGGGUUGGACUAACCUCUGGUGAAUCUGUUAUGGCGCCAGCUGUAUUGCAGAGUAGCUACGUUGGGAAUAGAUAAGCGCUGAAAGCAUCUAAGUGCGAAACUAGCCAC
rnacentral:rRNA from 1 species